AGCUAUGGAACAUAAAAGUAAUCUGGCAUCAGGCAAGCAAGUUCCAAAGACUCAGCCAUGGAAAAACAGUGGAUAUGGACAGUAAAUGAACAUCUUUCACAAAUGCCAGAAUCUAGAAGAAUCUUCCUUAUCCCUCCUA